GUAUAAUUCAUUUAUAAAACCAGUUUUGGAGCAUGCAGUCCUUAAAUAAGAAGAGCACACAUUAAAUAC